CACGCGCAAACACGCGCGCACACGCGCACGCGCAUAUAGCACAGAACAUCAGGACACAUUUAAAGCGGAGACACGAAAAACGUUUGAAGAAAGUUCGAGCACGUUCACUCUCUUUUUCUUCAGCUCCGACUACACACACGAUUGUAGGUGGAAUAGAAGAGGAGGACGUUAAAAACAGAAUGUAGUAAAAGACGAGUUUGAUGAGGGAAACCGUCCUGUCAGAAAAAACGCGGGAAGCGCGUGCGAGUUUCUCUAGUGAGGGAUUUCGCGCUCUUUGCUGUGACAGUGUUGGAAUCUUCAGAGGGCGACACUGGUUUGUGUGAAUUAAUGUAUGAGGAUAACUAAGACGUCAAUCAACUGGCAUCAGCUCUGAAUGAUGCUGUUCAGAAAUCAUGAGAUUGGAGGAAUGUGUAAAGAUGAAUCUAAUAAUCUAUAAUCAAUCAGGAUCAUUGUUUAUUAUUAUCCAUUUCAUUCUAUAUUUGUUUAAACUGUGCAACUAUUUGUGGAGGACUUGAGCUUCAUUCGUCCGUGAGCUAGAGUGUGUCCAUAUGGACCCAUUGUAUCUAAUGAGGGAUUUUGGCCCUCUUGUGGAAGUACACUCGACCUGCUCGGAUAUGAGACGCUUGACACAGUGCGUGUUUGAAACCAGUAUGAAAUGAAAACAAUUUCCUGUUUCUGUUUUUAAAUCUGUGCAUGGCUGCAUACAGUAGACUAUAUGGUUUAAUUCUUCCCUAAAUGGCAUCAGACAAAUCAUUAAUGUCCCCCCUUUGUAAGGGUUUAUAAAGGGGGUUAUUAAUGAGUAAUACAUCAUUUACAAAUGCAUUAUAAAUCACUAUGCAUUUCUAACAACAUGCAUAAAGGGAGACUUUCAUGCAAUUGCUUUCCAAACAGUAAGCCAUUUUACCUCACCUUAUAAAUGCUUAAUAACACAAAUUCAACAGUAGUAACCUAUAAAAAUGCAGCUUAAUGUGAAGUGGACACAUAUGAAGUAUUUAUAAAGAAGUUGUAGUCAAUACGGUGGACUAUAUGGUUUAAUUCUAAGCUAAAUGGCAUCAGAUAAUAAAUUACAUUAAUGUUCCCCCUUUGUAAGGGUUUAUAAAAGGGUUUAUUAAUGAAUAAUACAUCAUUUAUAAAUGCAUUAUAAAUCACUUAUAUGUGCUUGUAACAACAUGCAUAAAAGGGAGACUUUCAUGCAAAUGCGUGACAAAUAGUGAGCCAUUUUACCUCACCUUAUAAAUGCUUAAUAACACUUAUUCAACAUUAGUAACAUAUGAAAAUGCACCUUAAUGUGAAGCGGACACAUAUGAAGCAUUUAAUAAUAAUCUGGCAACAUUUGAGACUUAUGUUCAUGCAGUUCCAUAUCGUUUAAUUGUCAUUAGGCUUUUUAAUGUGUUAUACUUUAUGCUGUGAAUGAGAUUAGCAGAUUUAGGUAACUACUGCAGGACUAGUUAAAUUGGGACAGCACUCGGUGUAGCACCAUUAUUUUGAAAUGAACAUGACAAGGAAAGAGACACAAGUGAGUCAAGACAUUACAGUAAUAAUAUAAGCGGAUAUGGAGCAAAAUGGCAUAACCCCUCCUUGAAAUGUUAUGAAUUGUAACAUAAAACAAGUGUUAUGUUUGUGAUUAAUGUAAGUAUGAAUGAUGGUAUUUAUUAAGCAUUUAUAACAUUACAAUUAAAAUGCUCACCAUUCGCAGUGCGCUUGCAAGUCGCCCUUUGUAUUCAUGUUGUUAUAACUGCAUAUUAAUCCUUUAUAAUGCACUUUUAAAUUACUUAUAAGUCUUUAAUUAACCCCUUUAUAAAGCAUAAACAAUGGGAACGCUUAUAUGUGUUACAGAUAAAUGUCAUGUCAAAUGUUGCAGUACUUGUUUAAAAAACGAUGUAACAGACAACGAAACUGUUACUAAGCUGUUACAUUCCAUUCUUUCCAAAACGGAACAGACACUUUCCAUUCUGGUUGCUGAUUGGUCGAUACAGUGUUCCAAAUGUACAACAAUACACAACACACACGAUAUCAUUGCACAGCACUUAUACAGACCAACUGUUAACCUUAGUUUACAUAUCAGGAACUAGAUCUUCCAACAGAAGAAUGCAACUUGAUACAUUUGAUUAAGGAACAUUUUAAUGCCAUUUUGUGCAAGAACCACUAAAAGACGUGCAUAUAGACAAAAUACUGUGUGUCAUGCUGAACAAAGAACUUUAACCAUGACUAUAUUCAAAAUAUGAGUGUUACAUAAUUAAACAUUGUUUCAGACUCAGGUGUAUGUCUCUCUCUCUCUCUCUCUCUUCCGGCAGAUGCAGCACUUCAAAAUACAAUCACUUAAAAAGACUCGACACCAUUCAUAUCUCAGCAAGAGACAAAAUUAGCAAACCAGCAAAUAUUUAUAUUCAAAAGUGUAAUGCAAAUAAAUGCAGUCAUCGCCGUGACAACGAACAUCUCUCUCUCUCUCUCUCUCUCUCUCUGUGUCUCUGUGUCUCUGUCUCUCUCUCUCUUAAACAGGCAGGAAUGGUGAGUUGAUUUGUUUUUGAUCUUGCUGUGUGUUCAAAUAAAAGAGCAUUUUACACAUUUGAUGGCUACAAUUAGCUGUCGAUCAGAGCGGCUGAGUGCAACACUUACACUCACAUUUACAUGUCAGUUUGUUGAAUAAAAAAAGGAGGGGAAAAAAGAUGUUGGAUUUUCCUUUUCUGUGUUUGCUGUAUAAUUUGUGGAGAUUUGAGAAAGAGCCGGAACGCAGAGAUGCUCAUUAACAUGUGAAAGAGGCAAUCAGGGGACACUGCUGAGACUAUUGUCCACACUCAUCCACACUGAGAGAGACAGACUGUAUUUUAUAUAUAUAUAGAGAGAGAGACUAUAUAAGUGUUCAAGAGAAAGAGAGAGAGAGUGUGUGUUAUAGUAAACCAUGAGCAGUUAUCUUUUGCACUGUUGCAUUUUACCAAUGAUGUACACACACAUUUAUCUAGCAAUAUAAUGAGGACAUCCCAUUGACAUCUAAUGAUUUUAUAAAGCUAAUUACCAUGAUUACAGACAUUUUAGGGAAAAAGCUCAAACAAAGCAAAUGUAUUUAUUUGUAAAUCAUUUAUACAAAUACAGAUGUCACUAAAUACCUGCAAAGGGAGGUGUUGUGAGAUUUACGAUUGCAACAAACUCCCGUAAAAAUGUUCAUCCAAAUAUAAUAGCUUGCCUCAUCCCUAUACACAUCGCAAAUGAAACAACUUUCCUUCUCAGCUGACGUCAUAAUGCCUUUUUAUUCCUCAACCCCUCCCCUCGACCAGCUGUCAUAGAGAGACAUGUUUUGCCAUUCAAUCAAAUGUCCUGUUUCACUCAAAAACACAUCACAUUAGAGAACUAAAAUGGGUUGUGAACAGCGUUUCAUGCUGAUUUUGAAUAUUGUCAUGGUGUGUUUGGAUUCAAUCCAGUCUGAAUUACCUUCUAAAUA